GAGACAGCAGCCGCCACGGUAAUACGUAGGGUGCGAGCGUUGUCCGGAAUUAUUGGGCGUAAAGAGCUUGUAGGUGGUUUGUCGCGUCUGCUGUGAAAAUCCGAGGCUCAACCUCGGACUUGCAGUGGGUACGGGCAGACUAGAGUGUGGUAGGGGAGACUGGAAUUCCUGGUGUAGCGGUGGAAUGCGCAGAUAUCAGGAGGAACACCGAUGGCGAAGGCAGGUCUCUGGGCCAUUACUGACACUGAGAAGCGAAAGCAUGGGGAGCGAACAGGAUUAGAUACCCGCGUAGUCCCUGUCUCUUAUAC
rnacentral:rRNA from 1 species